UUGCCCCAUCUAUUAUAUGAGGACAAAAGUUAGAAAAAAUCUCACGGAACAGGGUAAACUUAUGGAAAGAUUCAGCCUACCCUGACAACCUACCGCUCUCGUCAAUGAUGGUGCAUACAGGCUCGUAGGGGGCUAGUCGCUAGGUGGCCCAGGUGCUGUGCUGAGCUGAGCUGCUGAUGGCCACAUUUAUCAUGGCGUCGUAGCGGCUAGUUAUAUCACGGCAGCCGAACGUGGCAGACCUUUAUUUUUGUAGGUGAAAUCCAAGGGAGGAACUGCAAAUGCUCGGCGCCAUCUUGUACGAACGAUGUGGUCUGGCGGACACCUUACCAAGGUGACCAUGCAUUACCUUCGAGUGUAUUUAAGUUGCAAGUCGGUAGAUUUGCUCUGCAGUUUCCCGGAUACCAGCACCCUGCUUCGCGAGAACUACUCUACGUUGUUCUGGGGGG